rnacentral:rRNA from 1 species
GACGAACGCUGGCGGCGUGCCUAAUACAUGCAAGUAGAACGCUGAAGGAGGAGCUUGCUCUUCUGGAUGAGUUGCGAACGGGUGAGUAACGCGUAGGUAACCUGCCUGGUAGCGGGGGAUAACUAUUGGAAACGAUAGCUAAUACCGCAUAAGAGUAGAUGUUGCAUGACAUUUACUUAAAAGGUGCAAUUGCAUCACUACCAGAUGGACCUGCGUUGUAUUAGCUAGUUGGUGGGGUAACGGCUUACCAAGGCGACGAUACAUAGCCGACCUGAGAGGGUGAUAGGCCACACUGGGACUGAGACACGGCCCAGACUCCUACGGGAGGCAGCAGUAGGGAAUCUUCGGCAAUGGACGGAAGUCUGAACGAGCAACGCCGCGUGAGUGAAGAAGGUUUUCGGAUCGUAAAGCUCUGUUGUAAGAGAAGAAAGAGUGUGAGAGUGGAAAGUUCACACUGUGACGGUAUCUUACCAGAAAGGGACGGCUAACUACGUG